UUCAUCUCUACUCGGCUCCACAUGGAAGCGAAGCAGGGUGGUGACUAGGGAGCCCUCCCCCCCCCCCUUCAGUCCCAGAAUAAAGGCAGGAACUAGCAUAGGGGUGGGCAAACUACAGCCCGCGGGCCAGAGCCGGCCCACCAGCCAUUUUAAUUUGGCCCUCGAGCUCCCGCUGGAGAGCAGGGUCUGGGGCUUGCACCCCUCCGGCGCUCCAGCCAGGGAGCAGGGUUAGGGGUCGUUCUACAUGGCUCCCGGAAGCAGUGGCAUGGCCCCUCUCUGGCUCCUAUGCUUAGGGGCAGCCAGGGGGCUCCACUCUGCAUGCUGCCCCUGCCCCAAGCACAGGCCCCACAGCUCACAUUGGCCAGGAACCGCAGCCAAUGGGAGCUGUAGAGGCGGUGCCUGCCGAUGGGGCAACAUGAAGAGCUGUCUGAUCGCACCUCCGCAAGGAGCCAGAGAUGGGACAUGCCGCUGCUUCUGGGAGCUGCUUGAGGUAAGUGCCACCUGGAGCCUCCACCCUUGAGCCUCUCCCCAUGCCCUAAACCCCUGCCCCAGCCCUGAUCGCCCUCCUGCCCUCUGAACCCUUUGGUCCCAGCCCAGAGCACCCUCCUACACCCUGAACUCAUUUCUGGCAGCACCCCAGAUCCUGCAUCCCCACCCAGAGCCCUCACCCCCUCCCACACCCCAAUCCCAAUUUUGUGAGCAUUCAUUGCCUGCCAUACAAUUUCUAUUCCCAGAUGUGGCCCUCAAGCCAAAAAGUUUGCCCACCCCUAAACUAGCAGCAAGUCUCAGUAGGAGUGCUCCGGGGUACAGCUUAACUGGGCUCCACUCCAUGUGGAAGCAGGUCAGGGAGAGGGAGGAGGGAGAAAGCCCUCCUCCUACUACAGUCCCAGAAUAGAGAAGCAGGCCCUUGUCCCAGCCUGGCUCCAAGCAGACACAGGAUAACGAGAGCUGGGAGGAACAGGGGGAGGAUUAAUUCUCCCUUUCCCAUGGUUCAGGCAGGCAAAGCAGAGUGAAUUCACAAAGGGAGGUGCAGGAGGCUCCCACAUGAAGAGACUGUUCCUGGCAUGCAAUAUCUUAGAAAGUUCUACAGAGAAUACUUGCAAAUGGUAGUAUAGCGAAAUCCGCCUUUGGGAAUGUGUCCCUGGGGAUCCCAGGAUCUGAAGAACUUGGGGGGUUGGACUACCUGCUUCUUCCAUGGUGUGGAAUGGGAAACCAACCCUUCCCCCUUAAUGGAUCAAUUUGGAGGAAACGCCACAAGGUUUUUCUCC